rnacentral:rRNA from 1 species
CCUACGGGAGGCAGCAGUGAGGAAUAUUGGUCAAUGGGCGCGAGCCUGAACCAGCCAAGUAGCGUGAAGGAUGACUGCCCUACGGGUUGUAAACUUCUUUUAUAAAGGAAUAAAGUGAGGCACGUGUGCCUUUUUGUAUGUACUUUAUGAAUAAGGAUCGGCUAACUCCGGGCCAGCAGCCGCGGUAAUACGGUGGAUCCGAGCGUUAUCCGGAUUUAUUGGGUUUAAAGGGAGCGUAGAUGGGUUGUUAAGUCAGUUGUGAAAGUUUGCGGCUCAACCGUAAAAUUGCAAUUGAUACUGGCAGACUUGAGUGCAGGUGAGGUAGGCGGAAUUCGAGGUGUAGCGGUGAAAUGCUUAGAUAUCACGAAGAACUCCAAUUGCGAAGGCGGCUUACUAGACUGCCACUGACAUUGAUGCUCGAAAGUGUGGGUAUCAAACAGGAUUAGAUACCCCUGUAGUC